AGUUGCUGCAGUUAAAAAGCUCGUAGUUGAACGUUCGGGGUUCCGCGGGACGGGGCCGCCCCGCGAGGGACGGCGCCGCCCCGGGGCUCGUGAUAUCUUAUCUCGCCGCCCGUCGCGAGGCGGACGGAGGGAUGGAUGAGGUUACCUGGAAAAAAUCGGGGCGAUCUAGGCGGGCGAACCUCGCCAACGAACGAUCGGACAUGGGAUAACGGAAGAGGGCGUCGGCUCGACUUCGUCGGUUCCUCGGGCCGAGGCACGUACGGUGAAUAGGGACGGUCGGGGCCGCCCGUACCGGGUCGUGAGAGGUGAAAUUCUAGGAUCGACCCGAGACGAACUGCCGCGAAAGCAUUCGGCAAGGACGCUUUCAUUAAUCAAGAACGAAAGUCGGGGGAUCGAAGACGAUCAGAUACCGUCGUAGUCCCGACCGUAAACGAUGCCGACCGAGGGCCCGGAGGAGUUACGUACGACCCUCCGGGCCCUCCCGCGAGAAAUCAGGAGUAUUCGGGUUCCGGGGGGAGUAUGGUCGCAAGGCCGAAACUU
rnacentral:rRNA from 1 species